UGUGGAAACAAGGUACGCCUGCGAAAG
rnacentral:sRNA from 1 species